AGGGUUAGUCGGUCCUAAGUCGAGGCGAAUAGCGUAGACGAUGGAAAGCCGGGUAGAAAAUUCCGGCACCACCUGAAUAGUGUUAAGCGAAGAGGGGACAUAGAGAGGUAAGCUCGCACGGUGUUGAUAGUCUGUGUCCAAGCAGUUGAGGAGAUUGCUCAGGCAAAUCCGGGCGAUUGUUAAUCCAAAGCUGUGAUGGGGACUCCGUUUUUGGAGGAAGGAGUGGUUCCUUGCUAUCAAGAAAAGCCUCUAAGUGAUAUAUUUAGGUGACCGUACCGCAAACUGACACAGGUAGGCUGGCUGAGAAUGCUAAGGCGCUCGAGUAAACCCUCGUUAAGGAACUCGGCAAAUUGGCUCCGUAACUUCGGGAGAAGGAGUGCCUCAUUAGUGUUGUAUCAAGCUGCUUGCAGCUUGAGAAGCACGAAGAGGUUUCAAUAAAGAGGCCCAAGGGACUGUUUACUAAAAACACAGGUCUCUGCUAACUCGAAAGAGGAUGUAUAGGGACUGAAGUCUGAUCAGUGCUGGAAGGUUAAGGGGAAGGCUGCAAGGCUCGAACCGAAGCCCCAGUUAACAUCGGCUCUAACUAUAAGAGUCCUAAGGUAGCGAAGUUCCUUGUCGGGUAAGUUCCGACGCGCAUCAAUGACGCAACCACUUGGGCACUGUCUCAACGAGGGACUCGGUGAAAUUGUACUAUCGGUGAAGAUACCGAUUAUCUGCGGCAGGACGGAAAGACCCCGGGACCUUUACUGUAGUCUGGCAUUGGGUUCUGAUGUGGUCUAUAUAGAAUAGGUGGGAGGCUUAGAAGGGAGGACGCUAGUCUUCCUGGAGCCAUCAGUGGAAUACCACCUUGGUCACGUUAAGAUUCUAACCUGCAUCCGUUAUCCGGAUGAGGAACAGUGCUUGAUGGGCAGUUUGACUGGGGCGGUUGCCUCCUAAAAAGUAACGGAGGCGUCCAAAGGUUCCCUCAACGCGUAUAGAAAUCGCGGGUAGAGUAUAAAGGCAUAAGGGAGCUUAACUGCGAGAGAGACAUCUCAAGCAGAUGCGAAAGCAGGGCUUAGUGAUCCUGCGGUCCCGUGUGAGAGGGCCGUGGCUUAACGGCUAAAAGGUACCCCGGGGAUAACAGGCUUAUCUCCUCCGAGAGUUCCUAUCGACGAGGAGGUUUGGCACCUCGAUGUCGGCUCGUCGCAUCCUGGGGGGGUAGCCCCUCCCAAGGGUUAGUCUGUUCGCCUAUUAAAGCGGCACGCGAGCUGGGUUUAAACCGUCGUAAGACAGGUUGGUCCUUAUCCGCCGUAGACGCAAGAGAUUUGAGGG
rnacentral:rRNA from 1 species